GAUGAACGCUGACAGAAUGCUUAACACAUGCAAGUCAACUUGAAUUUGAGUUUUUAACUUAGAUUUGGGUGGCGGACGGGUGAGUAACGCGUAAAGAACUUGCCUCACAGCUAGGGACAACAUUUAGAAAUGAAUGCUAAUACCUGAUAUUAUGAUUUUAAGGCAUCUUAGAAUUAUGAAAGCUAUAUGCGCUGUGAGAGAGCUUUGCGUCCCAUUAGCUAGUUGGAGAGGUAACAGCUCACCAAGGCGAUGAUGGGUAGCCGGCCUGAGAGGGUGAACGGCCACAAGGGGACUGAGACACGGCCCUUACUCCUACGGGAGGCAGCAGUGGGGAAUAUUGGACAAUGGACCGAGAGUCUGAUCCAGCAAUUCUGUGUGCACGAUGAAGUUUUUCGGAAUGUAAAGUGCUUUCAGUUGGGAAGAAAUAAAUGACGGUACCAACAGAAGAAGUGACGGCUAAAUACGUGCCAGCAGCCGCGGUAAUACGUAUGUCACGAGCGUUAUCCGGAUUUAUUGGGCGUAAAGCGCGUCUAGGUGGUUAUGUAAGUCUGAUGUGAAAAUGCAGGGCUCAACUCUGUAUUGCGUUGGAAACUGUAUAACUAGAGUACUGGAGAGGUAAGCGGAACUACAAGUGUAGAGGUGAAAUUCGUAGAUAUUUGUAGGAAUGCCGAUGGGGAAGCCAGCUUACUGGACAGAUACUGACGCUAAAGCGCGAAAGCGU
rnacentral:rRNA from 1 species